UGGCCACACGUCCCUCUCGAUCUGCAAUUCUGCAUCACAUCCCGCUCUGCAGCGCGGCCGCCGCCGCCGCUGCAACCAAGCCCGCAUGAUUGGUCUGCCCAUGAGGCCCUUUACACCUGCGACUCCUCCCCCUCUGGUUGAUCGCUGCCGCUGGUCACCGCCCGUCCGCUCCCCGAUGGAUUGAUGGACGGCCGCCGGGCUGCAGCCACGCUCGUGGAUCCACAACCGCAAGCACCUGUGCGACCCGCGGCAGUGGCACUUACAGCAUCCUCGGCGGCGGGGUAGCGGCGCCAGGGCCUUGGGCUUGCUCGGCACGGGGGUGUCGCCUAGCCCGACGUCCCGACCUCGGUGGCACCUCCGGCGAGGUGCUCUGGGCCGACGCGGACGGGCCCUCCGGCAACUUCACAGGCGAGCGGAACAGCAUCCAUGGAGGCCACAACACCUCCUCUCCCUCCUACCGUCCUUCCCCCGUCCACCAUGGCCUUUUGAGUGUAUAAUCUCUUGUGAUUAUUCUCGACCAGCUUUUAGAAAUUAUGAUGACCAGGUUUCAGAAAUUAAUCUUUGCAUUUUCAGUUGUACCGUCCAUUGUAGCAUGCUGGUUCAGUUGUAUUAUCAUUUUCACUUCUGGUCAUGGCCUUUCUAUCGUGUAACUAGGUGUAUGCCACAGAUCAGCGCACACCAGAAAUCAUUUUCCAUUUCCAGAAUGAAUGCCCCCUACCCCGAGGUUUUAUUUCAUGGGGGAUGUCUUAUAUGGUCAUUGGAGAAGUAACGACCUUUGGGUGUACUGAGUACCAAACAGAAACACAUAAUGUCAUGGGUAUCAUUGAAAAUAGAUUUGACCGAACUUAAGUCUUACUCUCACAUAAGGAACAUCUUUCAGGUUGCCUCUCAGCAAAAGGUUACCUCGAAUUUCAGUCAGCCUUCCUUCAGCCAUUUCUUUUUUUUAAUUUCGUAUCGAUGCUGUUCUGGAUGAACAUGUUUCGAAUGAUGAGGUAUUGCUCUUUCUCUUGUCGGCCCAAGUUGCUGUCCCUAAUUAAGUCCAAACAGGGUUUAAGUCCAUAGUACCAAUUUUCUUAUUAACAUUUGAGGUUUCUCCAUUUUUGUGCAUAGUGUACAUUUCUCAACAAUCAUCAUUUAAUUUUUAUUGACUACCUUAUGGGAUGAACAGAUGUACCAUGAUGCAGUCAAGCCCGUAAUUCCAAUUAUAUUUCAGAGAACGAAAGCAACAUGUUUUGCUUAUGGCUAAACGGGUUAGUUCUUACAGGCAUAUAGCAAGCUUAUCUUAUACAUAAUAUUUUUACGCAUAAAUGAAUUGUGGUUUGUCACAAUUUCUGUCUUUCUGGUGAUCAUGUCAAUAUCAUAUUGCGAUCUUUUUCUGUCAUUACUAUACUGGAAUUUAUCAACUGCUUUGUGACAGAAUACAAUGUUAUCCUUUCUAAAAGGUCAGAUAGUUAUAUGUCUAUUUAAAAUGGUAAUAGUUGUAUUUUUGUUCCAUUACCGAAUAUAAUAAUCAACCUUUUCUAUGUGCCAAUUACAGAGGUUAGCAAAUAUUACCUGACUUAUGAUCAGAAUUUUUUUAGGCCAUUUAUGAUCAUAGUUUGAAUGAUUCACUUCUUUUCUUUUCAUUUGCGAACUGUUCAAAUUGCAACUGUGGGGAUAAUGUCUUUUCAUAAGUGAUGUUUAUGAAACCUGUUCCAACAAUGCUCUUUCAACGAUACUAUACUACAAGAUAGGUGGAUCUUCACCAAACAGCCAGGAAGUGGAUACAGCUUGGUCCCUUUUUUGUAAUACCUGAAGCUUCAUCAGAUGGUCCUAACAAUGGAAUGACAAGGGGCUCAUGGGAGGAAAUUCGUACAUACCUCAAUUUGAGGUGUUUGCAUCCGUGGCAUUGAAGAGAAGGCUUGAUAAUGGCUUCAGUUUGUAUUAACAUUUAAGUCAUUCCAAGCUUUUCCAUUUGUUAUUGUAAUAUAGUAGUCACAAGCAGCAGCUUCUGCAAUUGUUUGUUUGCGGUAUUAAUUGUAAUUAGUAACAAAUCUCAGUGGUAUUUCAGACUAUAGAAUAUAAGUGUUCAUUUGAUCCCUUUAGUUUUU